rnacentral:rRNA from 1 species
AAACCUUACCACCUUUGACAUGUACGGAANUUNNCAGAGAUGGCUUCGUGCUCGAAAGAGAGCCGUAACACAGGUGCUGCAUGGCUGUCGUCAGCUCGUGUCGUGAGAUGUUGGGUUAAGUCCCGCAACGAGCGCAACCCUUGCCAUUAGUUGCUACGAAAGGGCACUCUAAUGGGACUGCCGGUGACAAACCGGAGGAAGGUGGGGAUGACGUCAAGUCCUCAUGGCCCUUAUAGGUGGGGCUACACACGUCAUACAAUGGCUGGUACAGAGGGUUGCCAACCCGCGAGGGGGAGCUAAUCCCAUAAAACCAGUCGUAGUCCGGAUCGCAGUCUGCAACUCGACUGCGUGAAGUCGGAAUCGCUAGUAAUCGCGGAUCAGCUUGCCGCGGUGAAUACGUUCCCGGGCA